CCCUAGGGAGGCAGCAGUCGAGAAUUUUUCACAAUGGACGAAAGUCUGAUGGAGCGACGCCGCGUGGAGGAUGAAGGUUUUCGGAUUGUAAACUCCUGUCACUACAGAACAAGGGUGUUAUGAUUAACAAUCAUGGCAUUUGAUGGUAUGUGGAGAGGAAGGGACGGCUAACUCUGUGCCAGCAGCCGCGGUGAU
rnacentral:rRNA from 1 species